UACGUAGGGUGCAAGCGUUAAUCGGAAUUACUGGGCGUAAAGCGUGCGCAGGCGGUUUUGUAAGUCUGUAGUGAAAUCCCCGGGCUUAACCUGGGAAUGGCGAUGGUGACUGCAAGGCUAGAGUUUGGCAGAGGGGGGUAGAAUUCCACGUGUAGCAGUGAAAUGCGUAGAUAUGUGGAGGAACACCGAAGGCGAAGGCAGCCCACUGGCUCAAAACUGACGCUCAUGCGCGAAAGCGUGGGGAGCAAACAGG
rnacentral:rRNA from 1 species